UAAUGAGCUCCGAUGCUCACACGUUUGUUAUGAUUCGAUCGUAUCCGCCUUUAUCUAUACGCGCGUUCUUCAAUGUAGGCUAAACCAAAUAAACUCAUGCAACGAAAAUGUUGCCUUAUUAACGCCCUUCAUUCGCGGAACUUGGCGACAAAGGAUGGGUUUAUAUCUCCAAUACUAACAUACCAUAAGUUCUCUACCUGCAGGCACAGGUAAGAGUGAAGAAUUUUUGUGUGUGAUACCGCCUAUGAACUGGAGCCACAUACAACAGUUGCGACUCGGCAGCCGAACGGAGCCUAGCCUACGCCUAACCUAUAGGCUAAGCCUAAGAAGCGGAAGACGACAACCCUCAUCCGACGAAGUCUACCUGAAAACGAAGGCAAUCUCUACUACAUGCUCUCAUCACCCUCGAACCAGCAUUCUCCAAGCUCGUCGCCAAUUUGGGAGCGACUAAAUAGGUUAAAAGAGUAAAAGUGCUCAAGGUAGGUCUAUGCAAAUAGUAUAGUAGCCUACAUUUGGCCUCAAGGUAGGUCUGUGAAAGUAGCCUAUAGCCUAGGUUGUAGUUGCGAGUGUAAGCAACAAUAUAAGUUUAGCCUAGCUAGAUAACUUCCAAGAGCCUUGGUCUAAUCUCCCUCUAAUGACCUAAAAUACUUCCAAAAUUCCUAGCUUAACCCAAACUUCUUAGUAUCUCGCAGCAAACAUGUCAAUAAAUAUCAGAAGUUUAGAAUGCUUUAGAAUCGAUGAUGAUCCUAAAUCAGUGGGUACCAGAUGGAAGAGGUGGAUAGGCAGCUUCCAGAUUUAUCUAGAAGCACUAGGGAAAAUGAAUGAAAAGCAGCAGAAGGCAUUGUUACUUCGUACUGCAGGUCGAGAAGUUCAGGAAGUAUAUAAUAAUUUGAAUCUAACAGAUAAUUCAUUGCAGGACACAAUUGAAGGGCUCACCAAAUAUUAUGCUCCGCAAGCCAGUAAAUACUUAGAUCGUAUUCAGUUCACCCAAGCAUCACAAGGAUCAGGCGAGACAAUUCAUUUUUUUGUGACUAGAUUAAUAAAAUUAGCUGCAACUUGUGAAUUUUUAGAUGUAGAAGACAGGUUAAUAGAGCAAGUUAUAGUAGGGAGUAACUCACAAGAGCUUAGAAAGGAAUUGCUACAAGAACAGAAGCUAACCUUGCAAAGGGUUCUGGAAAUAGCAAGAGUAUUAGAAACAGCCAGUCAAAUGUCAUGGUAGAUGAGGCUCAAUGACAGCAGUAGCCACUAGCCAGGCAAAUCAUGUAGCCUAUAGAAAACAAGGUCAAUCUAAGCAAUAGUGGCACGUCAGGUAUUUCCUGUUUGGUUGCUAAUGUUGAGAAUUUAAUGUUGAUUUUUGGCGGUCGAACACGAGUUAGAAGGGGCAAACACAUCAAACAAGCCUAGCCCUGGUAUAUCCAAGUAUAACAAUGGUAUACUUACUGCAUACUCUCAGAAGAAUUAUUUACAUAGGCACACGAAAACCUUAAAAGAAAUCGUACUGUAGAUGUGGUAAACAAGAUCAUUAUAGCAUUAUUGGGAUAAAGUGCCCAGUGUCAGGUCAGACGUGCAAUAACUGCAGAGAACUGGGACAAUCACCAGGCUAAUGUAAGUUUCAUAAGCAAAAGACCACUAAACAUCAGUAGAACCGUAAAUUUAAAUGACGGCUCUAGCUCUAAUGAAAAACAAGUACACAAAACGACAGAAGUAGGAGAAUUUGCAUGCCACAUUAAUUCAGUGAAUGUAGAUGAACAAAAGCAUCGUAUGGAACAAAUAGAAAUGGGAAACUCACACCCAUGCAAAUGGACACAGCUGAAGAGUUGCACAAACUCUGCUUAACCUGGUAAAGAACCUCAGACAAGAUGAUCAAAAGUUACAAUGGUACAAACAUAGUAGUAGUUGGUCCAUAACAAGUUAAGUGCAUUUCAAUGAUCAAGAAAUUGACCAGUUACCAUUGACAGUAGUCAAAGGUAAAGGACCAAGUUUAUUAGGACUAGAUUGGUAAAGACAUAAAAUUAGACUGGCCUAGUAUUUUAAGGGUUACAGGGAAAUAAGAACCAGAAGAAGAAAUUUCAAUAACUAAUCUUCUAUCAGAUUACCAAGAAGUCUUUGAAGACAAGAGCAGGAACAGUAAAGAAUGCACAAGCAGUCUAAGGUUUAAAGUUGAAUGAAGCAGGUCCUAGAUUUUUAGCUACAAGACCAGUUCCAUAUGCAUCGAAAACAGCUGUAGAAGCUGAAAUUUGAAAGUGAAGGUUCUGUUGUUAAGGACAACACUCAAGUUAGGUUAUGGGAAAGUUACAAGGUGACACUAAAUUCACAAUUGCAAGUAGCACACAUCCUUAAAAGAUUCCAAAGACAUAUCAGUGCCUCAGUGGCCAGGUUGGUUUGGUGUUUGCUUCUCACCAGUGAGGAGUGAAGAGUGAGAGAGAUGUAUUUCUGGUGAUAGAAGUACACUCUCGACGUGGUUCGGAAGUCACGUAAAGCCGUUGGUGCCGUUGCUGAAUAACCACUGGUUCCAUGCAACGUAAAAACACCGUACAAACAAACAAACAAACCAAAGACAUAUCUGCAACUUUUUAAGGAAGCUCAGUAUUUUCCAAGCUAAAUCUUAGACAAGCAUUUCAACAGCUUUCCAUGGAUGAAAUUCCCAAAAGCGAUGUACUGUAAACACAUUCAGGGUUGUAUCGUCCAAACGGACUUUCCUAUGGUGUUGCUAGCAGUCCACUAAAAUGGCAGCAAACAAUGGACAAAAUAUUUACAGGUAUGUUAGGAGUAUUCAUUUUAUUGAAGGCAUUAGUCAGAUCAAAGUUGAUUGCUAGAAUUUAUGUUUGGUGGCCAGGUGUUGAUAGGGGCAUUGAUAAUUUGUUAGGUGUAUGAGUUGUGUAUUGCAACAACAUAAUACAGAACCAACAAAAAUGCACUCGAGGAAAUUACCCAGAUAUCAUGGAAAAGUUGACCCAUAGAUUUUGUAGGUCCAUUUUUAGAAUAUUUGAUAUUAGUAGACGCAUAUAGUAAUACCAAUGCAAUAAUCAUCGGAAAUAACUAAGAUCACUUAUGCAAAUCGUGCCAUUUUGUUUGCCCGAAAGAAUAGUGACAAGACAAUGGUCCACAGGUUACUUGGCUGUAACGUCAUAUUUAUUGAUGGGGAGGAGGGUCAGGAAUAAGUUCGAUCUAAUGAAUCGAAGAUUGCAGUCAGUCAGAACAAAGGUUAUGAUCGAACAAAGGUUAUGAUCAAGUAAAAAAAACUUCAAGGUAAAACAUUUCACUCCAAGUUAUGCAAUGGUAAGAUCAUACAAUACACCAGAAAAUGCGUAUCAUAAGGAGAAACUCGGGAAGAUAGGUAUUAAUUAACUCGGGUGCAAACCGGUCACCAAGAUGUUGGAUCACCAACUGUAUGGGGGAAAAUCAGGCAACAGCUCAGAAUGAGUAGAUGAAACCCUACUGAAAGAUUAUUCUUAAUCACAAUCACAUGUAAAGGGGGAGACUUGUGUACGUUAAGAUACUGCUGUAACGAGUGUGGCAAACUUCAGUUCCGUAGACAAGCUCAAUUCAGAGAUAUUUUGCUUGCAUUGCAUAAUGCUUAGUUGUUAAAAUGUAACCAAUUAUUAUUGUAUUAGCAUUGGGUCCGACACAGGUUGCGAUCCUGUAAAUUCUACAUCGUGUACUAUGUUGGAUAUGAAUCAUAGGAUUCCUUUGUUACAGACUCAGAGAUCUCAGAGACAAUGUUACGGUGUCGAAAUAUCCUGGAAAGGGUCGACACAAUGUUACGGCCUCUGAAAGAGGUCGGCUUCAGGUUCGAUAUUAAAUAAUAAUAUAAAAGGUAUAUCAACACCAACAGUUGAAACGGGUUACAAAUAUAGAAAGAAACACUAACACAACAAAGGUUUAUUUACAAGCUUACUAACAAAGGUAAAUGCAGAAUGGUAUCUCCUAUUUACAUAAAAAGACAGAAUCUUACACUGCAUGAACUGGGGGAAACAGUGAGGUAAUUCGAAUACCUGCUAAUCAGUUUGGAGAUUCGACGCGCUGGCUUCAUAAAUGUAGAGCGGCAAUUGCAGUCAUCCUCUUGACUCCGUCCGUAUUGCAGAAACUAGUCUACUUGAAAGGCAGGAAAUACCCAAAACCUCUAGCAGGACCUUUUCUUCUCUGCAGUCUGCUCGACGUCGAGAUAACAAGAGAUAAUUCGUCCACUCCUGAAGACGACUAGACCAAUAUCCAACCAACUCCCGAACAACUCUUCUUUUGAUUGAUACUUCGUCGGUUCCUUCGUCUCUAGUCUCUCUCUGACGAUCACUGCUGCUGAUCUCUCACUGAUAAUCUGAUCUGUGGCUCUUACUAACUGGUGAUCCCUCUCUUUUACGAUCACUAUAUCUCCUCCUCCCGCUGCUACUUCCUCCGUCGUAUUUAUACGGCAUCCUGGGGGCAGAGCCUACAGGGAGCGUCACAGACUCCCGAGGUUUCUAGACAUUCUUAGAUGAAUCUAGACUAGGUAUUGCAUCAGAAAUCGCGGCGUUUCUCACGUCCCGAGGAGAUCCACAACACUCCUACCGAUUCUAGAACCAUCAUGAUAACAGGCACCUCCAACACAUUGCGCUAACGCCUCCUUGCUGCCGAACUUCUCGAAAAAGCGUUCUCCUUUCCUUUAACUUCCUUUGCUAUGAAGCAAUUACCAUCACAUCCUUAUUGUGUACUGAGCUCCGAAGCUCACGUGUAUGUUAUGACGCGAUUGUAUAUGCCUUUUGUAUUUUGUAUCUUCUACUAUGGACCUUCAAUGUAAACUAAACCAAAUAAAGUCGAGCAAGGAA